rnacentral:rRNA from 1 species
AGAGUUUGAUCCUGGCUCAGGACGAACGCUGGCGGCGUGCUUAAUACAUGCAAGUCGAGCGAGGUUACUGUUUCGGAUCCCUUCGGGGUGAAGAAGCUUUAACCUAGCGGCGGACGGGUGAGUAACGCGUGGGUAAUCUACCCCAAAGUCCGGGAUAACAGCGGGAAACCGCUGCUAAUACCGGAUGUCUUUACCUUGGGGCAUCUUGAGGUAAAGAAAGGUAACGCUUUGGGAUGGGCCCGCGUCCCAUUAGCUAGUUGGUGAGGUAACGGCUCACCAAGGCGACGAUGGGUAGCCGGCCUGAGAGGGUGGACGGCCACACUGGGACUGAGACACGGCCCAGACUCCUACGGGAGGCAGCAGUAGGGAAUAUUGCGCAAUGGACGGAAGUCUGACGCAGCGACGCCGCGUGAGCGAUGAAGGUCUUCGGAUCGUAAAGCUCUGUCCUUGGGGAAGAAGGCGAAAGCUUGACGGUACCCAAGAAGAAAGCCCCGGCUAACUACGUGCCAGCAGCCGCGGUAAU